UCCAUCAUAAAAAGUACUCCACAUGGAGCAUAAUUUCAAUAUAAGCCAAGAUGAAACUGUUUUUUCUUUGCUGUAAACAAAACUUGGUUCUCACGAGACUAGCAUAUUCUCACUGGAGCUUAUGCUACGUCUGCAUUACAUGUCAUCUGCUGGAACGCCACUCUCUCAUGAAUGUGGAAGCUAGAGAUAACGAUUUAUAAAGUUUUAAAUAUGGAUAUAUUUCUUACACAAAUUUCAUUAGUUAACUUCAGAAGGCUUUUACUCUCCAGAGCCAUGUGGAAUACUUAUUAUGAUGGAUUGAUGCACUACUUUGGAUUUUAAAAUCUCAACCACCAUUCACUGCAAUUAUAUAUCUUGAAAGAGUCCGGACAGUUUUAAUGUUACUCCGAUUGUAGCCAUAUAUACAUACCUAGGAUGGCUUAAGGGUGAGUAAAUCAUGGAGUAAUUCUCAUUUUUUAGGGUGACCCUUUCCUUUAAUCACUUGUUUGUUUCUGCUAGGGUGAAUGCAGCCAUUAUAGCAGGCCAUGAUGAGGAUGUUGGGAAAAGGACAUUUGUUUAUGUGCACACAGCACAUUCCUUAAUCCAGUCCCUCUUGGUAAACAAAAAGAGAGGUUUCAAACAGAUUCCUACUGACAAGGUGUCUAUGCGAUCACAUGUUCCUGUGUGUGGGCUACUUUGGCUGAACCUCUGAUAGUUUUUUUUUUUUUUUUUUAUGGAAGGACAUUAAAUAUGUUCUAAUCCCUGAGGCUCCAAGAGACUACAACUUUUUUGAGUCCCUUAUGAAGAAUAGAAAAAUACCAUCAGGAGCAUAUCGUGGAGGAACACUUUCUCAGAUAUGUGCGAAACAGGUUUCUUAGGGCAAAACAAUUGAAAAUAAAAAGAUGUUGGCUAGUCAAGCCAACUAAUGGAGCAUUUACUCUUCUGCUGGCUAUGGACAUAUGUGACAUUGUAAG